CACGUAGGGGGCAAGCGUUGUUCGGAAUUAUUGGGCGUAAAGGGCAUGUAGGCGGUUCUGUAAGUCUGGCGUGAAAUGGUUCGGCUUAACCGGAUCCUGCGUCGGAAACUGCGGGACUAGAAUCACUGAGGGGAAAUCAGAAUUCCAGGUGUAGGGGUGAAAUCUGUAGAUAUCUGGAAGAAUACCGGUGGCGAAGGCGGAUUUCUGGCAGAUGAUUGACGCUGAGGUGCGAAAGUGCGGGGAGCAAACAGG
rnacentral:rRNA from 1 species